rnacentral:rRNA from 1 species
UACAGAGGUCCCAAGCGUUGUUCGGAUUCACUGGGCGUAAAGGGUGCGUAGGUGGUUGCGCAAGUCUGAUGUGAAAUCUCCGGGCUCAACCCGGAAAUGGCAUUGGAAACUGCGUGGCUAGGGUGGUGAGGGGGGACUGGAAUACUUGGUGUAGCAGUGAAAUGCGUAGAUAUCAAGUGGAACACCAGUGGCGAAGGCGAGUCCCUGGACAACACCUGACACUGAGGCACGAAAGCUAGGGGAGCAAACAGG